rnacentral:lncRNA from 1 species
UUUCCGUCGACGCAAACAGUUUGACAGUUCUCUUCAGCUGGUCUUGUUUGGACUUGAUUGCAACCGAAUCGAACCAGUUAUUGUUGAUGUUGGGCUUCGGAAGGAUUUUGACCGGUUGAUAGAUAUUCAGAAUUCUGUCUUCGUGGUGGUGGAGGAGGAGGACGAGACGCAUGAAUCCGGCGGGCCAGGUCUUCGUGGCGGAAGACGGGACCGGAAGGAACCGAGCUUAUGGAGGAUAUGGUUCAUUCCAAAGGAGGAGGAGGAUGAAACACCGAGCGUCAAAAGUUCUACCCAAGGUAACCAAAAAUGUUCCAAUCUGAUCCUGCUAACAAACCAGCGUCUUUGUGUUGUCCCACGUAGUUUGUUGAACGGAAGCUGUAACGGCCGCAAAAACAUCUGCUCCGGAAGUGCGUAAACCGACGUUGUCCCGUACUCCGGUGGCCAUCAAUCCAUGGGACAUAAACGGUGGAGCCGCACCCCGCCGUAUCUGCGGCUAGUCGGAGAGCAAUAGUCAAUCUUGAUCAAGAUGCUGCCUCGCACGAUGGCGUCGGCUCGAAAAGAUGGCUGGCAAAUUCCGGACCCGGAAGACAACGCCAAAAACUUCCGGCCAAAAUGCCGAGCGAUUAGCUGAAAGACCAACUGGAAGA